CGAUUUCGACAGAAAAGACACCGGCUCGAUGACUCCAACGACUAGGUAAGUCUCUUCUUCCUUUCUUUAUACUUCAAACGAAAAAUAAAAUAAAAACUAAAAGGGAAAAAAAAGAAAAAAAUAACAAAACAAAACUGAGAAUGAUGAACACUAAGUAAAUAAAAUGGAAAAUCACCUUUUGUAUUCAAAAAAAUUUAUAUCUCUUUCCUAUCAAUAUUUUUUUUCUAUUUUCUUCGUCUCUGUAUUUUUUCUUUACAUUCCAAAAUCCCCCCCUUUUUCAUACAGUAUCUCAAUGGCUUUUUUAUAGCCAUAAAAAUAUAAAAGGAAAAAAUAUGUUUGAUUUUCUUCUUGAUUUGCAAUCUUUGAUCUUGUUUCCCUUUUUUGCGUUUAUUUGCUGCCUUUUUCUAUUGUUGCUAUUUGUUUGCAGAUUUAAAGGCCAGCCUGGAGCAACGGACGGAGGUGCACAUGCGCGUGAAGGCACAACUCGUACGAAGGAAACUCUGGCCGCUGCGGCGCUAAGGGUCGUGUGCUACUACUAGGGUUUCUGAAUGCUUGUUUUGGGUCAUAUUGUAUUUGGACUAGGGUCUAGUAUUUGGGUUGAUGUAAUUUGGGUCUUUUGGAAAAAUGUAAAUGGACUUUGGAAUUGGACAUUUGGUUUUAUUUGGCCUUAACGGGCUG
rnacentral:lncRNA from 1 species